GAAACCGACCUGGCUCACGCCGGUUUAAACUCAGAUCAUGUAAAAUUUUAAAGGUCGAACAGACCUAUUUUAUUAGCUUCUACACCAAUAAUUAAAUUUUAAUCCAACAUCGAGGUCGCAAUCUAUUUUUUCGAUAAGAACUCUAAAAAAAAUAACGCUGUUAUCCCUAAGGUAAUUUAAUCUUUUAAUCUAAAAUUCAGGAUCAUAAACCUAUAAAUAAAUAUAAUAAUAAAGAAAAGUUUCUCGAAUUUUCCUAUCACCCCAACAAAAUAAACAUCAACAAAAUAUAAUUAAAAAUCCCUAAAAUUAAACUUUGCUUAAUCUAUUAAACUCUAUAGGGUCUUCUCGUCUUCUAUAAAAAUUUAAGCUUUUUAACUUAAAAAUAAAAUUUUAAUAAAAUUUAAUAGAGACAGUCAUUUUUUCAUCAAACCCUUCAUACAAGCUUUCAAUUAAAAAACUAGUGAUUAUGCUACCUUUGCACGGUCAAUAUACCGCGGCCAUUCAAUUAAUCAGUGGGCAGGUCAGACUUGAAAUUAUUAACAACAAGCCAUGUUUUUAAUA
rnacentral:rRNA from 1 species